rnacentral:rRNA from 1 species
UGCGCAGGUGGGGAUGUAAGUCAGUGGUGAAAUGUUGCCGCUCAACGGUAAAAUUGCCAUUGAUACUGCAUCUCUUGAGUAUGGUUGAGGUAGGCGGAAUGUGUUGUGUAGCGGUGAAAUGCAUAGAUAUGACACAGAACACCGAUUGCGAAGGCAGCUUACUAAGCCAUUACUGACGCUGAGGCACGAAAGUGUGGGUAGCGAACAGGAUUAGAUACCCUGGUAGUCC